GGGAAAUGCAGGAGAGAGAGAGAGAAGAGAGAGUUGCAGAAAAAGUCCCUUUUGUCCUUCCCCACAAAGGGGCUUUGAGCUGUGUUAUCUGUUGGGCAGCAGCUCAGCGAAUGGCCAGGAGGCCUCUGGAUGCCAGCAGAGGAGGAAUAGUGAGACCGGGCCAAGGCAGGGCUCCCUCCUCCUUCCAGGCACAUAAGAAAGGAGCCGGUCCAUCAGAUAAAGUCCCUCUGGAAGAGACAAGGAUCUCUCUCUUGCAGGCAUUCCGGCUGUUCCGGAUUGAGAACUUCAUGCAAAACCAAGGCCUGCAGGGAGCUUUAGAAACCAGCCAGGCUGCCAAAAAGGGUCCCUGGGGCCUGGUUUUCGCAACAGGGCUCGAAGACACCCCCCCAAGCAAGCUGUCAACGUGAGGUAUGGUGAACACGGCCUUUGUCUUACAGGAGCGACACCAUCACACUGGCAGAAUCCAAAGGGCACUGAAAAGAGGCCACAAAUUCUGCAGCAAGGGAUCAUGCAAACUGCUGAAAUCUUGCAAACUCAGCACAUUUGCUAGUAUGGUUGUCGUUCUUGUUAUUUAUUGCAUUUCUAUCCUGUCUUUUUCUCCAAAGAGCUCUCGUUUAAUCCCCAAAAUAACCCUGUGAGGUAGGUUACACUGGGAGGCAGCAGCUGGCUGCAAGGUUACCCAGGGAGCUUCAUGGCGGAUUGGAGAUUUGAACCCUGGUCUCCCAGCUCCUAGUCCAACACUAACCACUGUGUCACCACUGGCUGAUGGCACUCAACUUUAUGUGCUUCUCCUUGUGUUGGAAGGAGGGGGGUUGUGGAGACCACUUGAGACAGCAACAGGAACUCUCCCCCCUCCCAUGCCUCUGCUGUUCUCAUUUGCAUCUAGAACAGAAAGAAGAGGCCUGCAGCUGAAUCAGUCAAGGGAGGCCCACCUAGACCAGCCUGCUGUUCUCACAGUGCCCACCAAGUGCCCCAAAGGAAAGUCAAUGCAGGAUAUGAGCCUGACAGCAACUCUCCCCUCCAGAGAUUCUAGCAACUGGUAUUCAGAAGCAUUACUGGUGGAGGCUGAACAUAAAGAGGAACCUAGGAAUAGGGGGCAUCUAGUUCCCACAGUGUCCUAACCCCAAACUACUGGGCCAAAGCAAUGUGAUGCAGCCCCACCAAACCUCCAUUAAGGUCCCUUGGUUGUUGCUGUUUUCAAGUUUGCUCAGUUUUGACUUGCAAAAGGGAAAGGUCCCCCUAUACCUUACAUAAAUCGAUGCUAUGACCUGCUUUUUGUGAAGAGCCAGUUAAUUUUCUGGUUCAGAGCUCAGGGCAGCUGGGAAAAGGCUUUGCAGAGAGAAGCCGCGUUGGACCUGAGCUCCUGUGCUCUGGGCAGUAUGAAAACUGUGGGCGUUCCUCCACCCCCACCCCAAAUUCCUCUCUCCAACGUUUCCAAUCCAGACCGCUUGAGGGUGGGGGAGGCGGGUGCUGUGAAAUGACUUCCUGGUUCCCAGACUUCACAUGCCAGCAGUGGCCUUUAUUUAUGGCCCUGGAGGCUUCCCUCUUGAGCAUAAAUCAGGAAGGGGGAGGGGGAAGGUCAGCCUAGUUCCUGAGCAUGGAUGCAAAGGGCUUUCCCUAUACUCCGGGAAGCUGGACCUCUGUGUGUGUGUGUGUGAGCAUGGGAAGAGUUAAAGAGGGAGCCUCUGGCCUCUGCCCAGUUCCCUCCCUCCCACAUCACAAUUGAACCAGGAAAUAAACAAAAUUGAUGCAUAUUUGUUUCAUUUCACAGCUGGGAGAUAGAAGGAUUUCCUCUUUGAUUUCCUGCUUCCAGAGGAGAGGUGAUGCGCAAUACAGGGGAAGCUGCCCUGUUACGGAGACAGACCAUUGGUCCACCAAGCUCUAUCUUGUAAACACUGGCUGGCAGCAGCAGCAGCACCACUCCAGGUUUUAUGGCGGAGAACAUUCCCAGGCCUGCAUUGACUGAACCUAGGACUUUUUGCUUGCUAGCUUCCCCAGCCCCUGACUGAGAACCACAAGCACAGGAAUCUUAACUUUAUUUUUUAAGGGAAAAGUACCAUGCAUGGUUCCAUGCCGUGAGGGAACAAAGCAGGGUAUAGAUGUAAGAGAAUAAAUGAAUAAAAAUGCAGACAGCAGCUUAAUUCUCAGUUUGGGAAUCUCUCGCCUCCCCCCAUCACACCUCCCCACACCCUGCAAAAAUACCCAAGAUUUUUGGCUGACUCUCUCAGAGCAACUUUCACACCUCCCAGAGAGUCCCAGCCAG
rnacentral:lncRNA from 1 species